rnacentral:lncRNA from 13 species
AUGUCGAACCAUAGGGCAACUGAUUUUAUUUUUCAAAAUAAUUUUAACCUGGCACUUGAAAUUAAUGUUUUCUACCUUCCUGUGUUCCACAUAGGUUAUAGCAAGUCUGUACCGAACAAAGAAUAUUUAUACCAAGGGCUGCCAGAAGACCUGCUGUUUUUUCUCGGACCACUUCAGAAAGGCUGUGAAAACCUGGAUGGGAAGGAUGACAAGGAAGAGAAACAAGUCCUUUGCCCUCAAACUUCUCCUGUGGCCUGGCAUGGAAAGUGGACUUUUCUUUCCAGAGAAGAUAGUGUGACCUUACUGAAAAAAAGAAGCCAAUCUAAACAGUUGUGAUGGUUCUGUACUCCUCUGAUGCUCCAGCCUGUUUCUCAGCUGGGAAACAUGAUUUAGAAAAAAUCCAUGUUGCCCCCUUUCUCUUGCACUUGUUGUGUGAACAUGCAGAAGGUCUCAUAUUAUCCCUUGUUUUUCAAGCAAUAAAUAUAUUGAGAAUGAAGAGGACA